UGUCGGUACGUCAAAACAGCAAAAGUAUUAAUUUACUGCCCUUCCUCCCAACUUAAAGUGCUUUACAAUCCGAAGACCUUCUUCACACACGCGGCAUGGCUGGAUCAGGCUUUCGCCCAUUGUCCAAUAUUCCCCACUGCUGCCUCCCGUAGGAGUAAUC
rnacentral:rRNA from 1 species